UCUGUCUGUGUUCUGAGUUGGCGU
rnacentral:siRNA from 1 species